rnacentral:lncRNA from 1 species
CUACUUUAAGUACAGAUUAUGUGUAACAUACCAAAUUUUAGUAUAAAAAUAAAAAUAAAUAAAAAUAGUGUGAGAAACUAUUUUUAUUGAAUUUAGAGAAGUAAAACAUAAGUCAGAAAUGAUUUAUGCUGAAAUCGGAAUGAAAACAGAAAAUUUAGAAUUUUCUAUUAGAAACGAGACAGAUAAAUUAGUAGAAAAUAUACAGUAUCAGAAAAUUCUGAAAAUUGGAGGAUAAGCCAGAAUUAUUUUUAUGAGGCUAGAUUUAAAGUUUCAUGUCAUUCUGACACCCGGAAGAUAGAAAAUAAAAUCCGACAGCUAUCUGAUAAAUAUUACAGUUCGGUACAGCUUUCGGUGACCAAACCGAAUCGAAACUAAAAUAUUAAAAUUUUUUUGGACUCGUUAAGUAAAACCGAAUAUAACUGUCAAAUUUGAGCUCAAACAGAUGUUCAGGGAGUUCCGACGAAAAAUACCAAAUUUCGAACUGCCCGAAAAUGAAUAGUGCUUUGGGGUGUAAUGUAUU